rnacentral:rRNA from 1 species
GUGCUUGCAUCAUGAUUUACAUUUGAGUGAGUGGCGAACUGGUGAGUAACACGUGGGAAACCUGCCCAGAAGCGGGGGAUAACACCUGGAAACAGAUGCUAAUACCGCAUAACAACUUGGACCGCAUGGUCCGAGYUUGAAAGAUGGCUUCGGCUAUCACUUUUGGAUGGUCCCGCGGCGUAUUAGCUAGAUGGUGRGGUAACGGCUCACCAUGGCAAUGAUACGUAGCCGACCUGAGAGGGUAAUCGGCCACAUUGGGACUGAGACACGGCCCAAACUCCUACGGGAGGCAGCAGUAGGGAAUCUUCCACAAUGGACGAAAGUCUGAUGGAGCAACGCCGCGUGAGUGAAGAAGGGUUUCGGCUCGUAAAACUCUGUUGUUAAAGAAGAACAUAUCUGAGAGUAACUGUUCAGGUAUUGACGGUAUUUAACCAGAAAGCCACGGCUAACUACGUGCCAGCAGCCGCGGUAAUACGUAGGUGGCAAGCGUUGUCCGGAUUUAUUGGGCGUAAAGCGAGCGCAGGCGGUUUUUUAAGUCUGAUGUGAAAGCCUUCGGCUCAACCGAAGAAGUGCAUCGGAAACUGGGAAACUUGAGUGCAGAAGAGGACAGUGGAACUCCAUGUGUAGCGGUGAAAUGCGUAGAUAUAUGGAAGAACACCAGUGGCGAAGGCGGCUGUCUGGUCUGUAACUGACGCUGAGGCUCGAAAGUAUGGGUAGCAAACAGGAUUAGAUACCCUGGUAGUCCAUACCGUAAACGAUGAAUGCUAAGUGUUGGAGGGUUUCCGCCCUUCAGUGCUGCAGCUAACGCAUUAAGCAUUCCGCCUGGAGAGUACGGCCGCAAGGCUGAAACUAGGAAUUGACGGGGCCCGCACAAGCGGUGGAGCAUGUGGUUUAAUUCGAAGCUACGCGAAGAACCUUACCAAGUCU